GCAUUAGUCGAUGCCCCGGUAGCUCAGUGGUCGAGCUCCUCUGUAUGUGGUGAUCGAAAGCGCCUAGCUAUAACUACGGAGGUCGCAGGUUUGAAUCCUGUCCGGUGGCUA
rnacentral:tRNA from 1 species